UCCCUUAUGGUCCAGUGGUUGAAAAUCUGCCUGCCAGUGCAGAGGACACAGGUUUGGUACCUGUUUGGGGAA
rnacentral:tRNA from 1 species